rnacentral:snRNA from 1 species
AUACUUACCUGGCAGGGGAGAUACCAUGAUCACGAAGGUGGUUUUCCCAGGGCGAGGCUUAUCCAUUGCACUCCGGAUGUGCUGACCCCUGCGAUUUCCCCAAAUGUGGGAAACUGCAUAAUUUGUGGUAGUCGGGGACUGCGUUCGCGCUUUCCCCGG